GUGGAUUUAUGAUUGUCUUUAUCAUAAAGUCAGCCUCUCUCUUGCUUGCUGGUAGCCCUUUGAGAGCCAGAGGCAGAGGAAAGUGGCUGUACAGCUUUCUAACUGGCCAAAGUGGGCUUCAGAGGAGCAACACUGCCAGGGCCAGCAGCACUCACCGUUUGACACAGAUGGCAACUUUAAUGUAAUCUUUAACAAUUGCACGGCAAGGUUCUAUGGGAUCCACAGAAGCACAGUGAGGUAGAUCCCUGCUUUUCUUACCCAUCUUACAAAUGAGGUGACCCAGGCACAGAGGGAUGCAGAGCUUACCCCAAAUCACACAUCCAGUCAACAUACCCACGAGAAUGGACUGCCUACGAGGGGUCGAUCCCAGAAGUGCACCACGGGAGACACAAAAAACCAACCAAAUUAUUUGGCAUGGAUUUGACACCCAUUUGUGCAAAGAUUGAGGUCGGCAAGUUGCUUCUACUUUUUCGCUGCUCGGCAGUUUGACUGGGAAACAACUUUGAUUAACUGUUCACCCAUUCGUCAGUAAGCAGGAGGAGGUACCAUUCACCCGGGCUCAUGUGAUACUCAUGGUCGUGGACCGCUGGCUUGAGGAAGAGGAUCAUGAAAGAGCCUGGGCUACCAUUUCCCAAAUGCACAGGCUAGGUGCGACCCCAGAAUAUCCUAGGGCCCCUCUGCUGGGAACCAGAUUCCAGAAGCUAACGAGGACUGGAGGCAGAGGACUCCACAGAACAAUGAAUGGAAAGGUUCCCUUGAUUUUCACCACCCCUGAGUCCCAAAGUCCUUGGGCAGUGAGUUACCAUACAACCUUCUAAGAUGUCUGCAGACAGUUCAGAGGACAAGGCGGGGAUCAGAAGAGUCCUACACAGAGGAUGAUCCAGAGGCUGAGAGCCAGACAAGAUUGAGAUAGCUAGCUCUCUGUCACUUGUUGAAAGAGGUGUCAAUCGACUGUUUGCAUCUAGAUGAGAUGCACUAAUGUAAGACGUUACCGUGUAUUAUUCUGCUGUCACGGGAGAUUAAAGUCCCUGAGUGCCCUGGGCGUGUCUGUCGUCUGUUUGCCAGUGUUUGGCCGCGGCCUCCCCUCUCCAAUCAGGAUGGCCCCGAGGUGUAGAGGCGAGAUCGAGGGCGGGCUCCGCUCCCGCUCUGCCUGGUGUCCCGCUGAGCCUCCAGGAACACGGGCUUUCAGCUACUUUUUCACCACGAUGCAACGAAUCCAAGGGUCAAAGCUCAAGAUAAGGACGCGGGUCUUAGGCGGUGCCAUCGAGCCCCUGUGUGGGUCUUGCUUCCCCAGGGCUUCCCGUUGGAUUUGGCAACCAAGCGCUGAUUCACUGGAGCAUCAUUAGCUCUGCUGCUGCCACCACAGCCAAAC
rnacentral:lncRNA from 1 species